CAAUCCUGGUUUCUACUAGCCACCAUUUAAAGGAGACUUGUGAUAAGACUUCCUUAGGUUGCAUAUUACAGAAGACUAAUUUAGGAAACAGGCAUGGUGCAGAGGCAGGGUUUUGGAGCCACGUUUCGUUACCUGCUACCACCCCAAAUACCACAGAUGUGUUGUUCAGCUCAUUUUUCUGGUGCUCCCAAAAGAAGGACUAGCCUGACAAUGCCAUUAAGAAUCACAGAAGAAAUCAAAGACUUUGGAAGUGGCUGUGAGAAAACCCAAGCAGAGCUUUGUUCCUGA
rnacentral:lncRNA from 1 species